UUUGCGCCGGCAGGUCUUACACGGCCAGCUCCUACUGAACUCCCCCAGGGUCGGAAGACAGCAAGGGUAGGUGGUUGUAGCGGCGCGAUGUAAUAAGCCUGCCAUUUU
rnacentral:SRP_RNA from 1 species